rnacentral:rRNA from 1 species
UACGAAGGGGGCUAGCGUUGUUCGGAUUUACUGGGCGUAAAGCGCACGUAGGCGGAUUGGUCAGUUAGGGGUGAAAUCCUGGAGCUCAACUCCAGAACUGCCUUUAAUACUGCCAGUCUCGAGUCCGGAAGAGGUAAGUGGAACUCCUAGUGUAGAGGUGGAAUCCGUAGAUAUUAGGAAGAACACCAGUGGCGAAGGCGGCUUACUGGUCCGGUACUGACGCUGAGGUGCGAAAGCGUGGGGAGCAAACAGG